GGGCUGCAGUGGGGAAUAUUGGACAAUGGGCGAAAGCCUGAUCCAGCCAUGCCGCGUGUGUGAAGAAGGUCUUCGGAUUGUAAAGCACUUUAAGUUGGGAGGAAGGGUAGUAACUUAAUACGUUGCUACUUUGACGUUACCGACAGAAUAAGCACCGGCUAACUUCGUGCCAGCAGCCGCGGUAAUACGAAGGGUGCAAGCGUUAAUCGGAAUUACUGGGCGUAAAGCGCGCGUAGGUGGUUCAGUAAGUUGGAAGUGAAAUCCCCGGGCUCAACCUGGGAACUGCUUUCAAAACUGCUGAGCUAGAGUACGGUAGAGGGUAGUGGAAUUUCCUGUGUAGCGGUGAAAUGCGUAGAUAUAGGAAGGAACACCAGUGGCGAAGGCGACUACCUGGACUGAUACUGACACUGAGGUGCGAAAGCGUGGGGAGCAAACAGGAUUAGAUACCCCAGUAGUC
rnacentral:rRNA from 1 species